UGGCCUACGGGGCGCAGCAGUAGGGAAUCUUCCACAAUGGACGAAAGUCUGAUGGAGCAACGCCGCGUGAAGGAAGAAGUAUCUCGGUAUGUAAACUUCUAUCAGCAGGGAAGAAAAUGACGGUACCUGACUAAGAAGCUCCGGCUAAAUACGUGCCAGCAGCCGCGGUAAUACGUAUGGAGCAAGCGUUAUCCGGAUUUACUGGGUGUAAAGGGAGCGCAGGCGGCAUGGCAAGUCAGAUGUGAAAGCCCGG
rnacentral:rRNA from 1 species